AUUACUAUUAUAAACUGAUUUAUUCUUUGUAGAAACCUAUUUUAUUUUUAAUUUGAGAAAUUUUAAUACAAUUAUUUACGUUAAAAUUCCUAAAAAUAUGUGUACAGGUUUUGAAGCUGAGUGAGAGACACAUUCUUUUCCUAGACUCCUUAUUCCAUAAACAUCCGGAAGCCUCAGUUGGCUUUGGCGACCAACGAUACAUUCAGAUUUGCAGUGAUCUGGCGCAGAGGAUUCUUCCAGGAGAAUGGACUGUGAUCCACAGCAAGGACAUCAAAGGUCUCCCAAGACAGACAGAUGGCAAUGCCUGUGGUAUCUUUAUGUUAAUGUAUGCUCUUUACAUCGUGCUGGGGGCAGAUUUUGACUUCACAACUGGCGACAUGGAC